rnacentral:rRNA from 1 species
ACCUAAGAGAUUAGGCGUUCCCUUCGGGGACGGAAUGACAGGUGGUGCAUGGUUGUCGUCAGCUCGUGUCGUGAGAUGUUGGGUUAAGUCCCGCAACGAGCGCAACCCUUAUUGUCAGUUGCCAGCAUUUAGUUGGGCACUCUGGCGAGACUGCCGGUGACAAACCGGAGGAAUGCGGGGAUGACGUCAAAUCAUCAUGCCCCUUAUGACCUGGGCUACACACGUGCUACAAUGGGUGGUACAACGAGCAGCGAGACCGCGAGGUCAAGCGAAUCUCUAAAAACCAUCCUCAGUUCGGAUUGCAGGCUGCAACUCGCCUGCAUGAAGCUGGAAUCGCUAGUAAUCCCGGAUCAGCACGCCGCGGUGAAUACGUUCCCGGGUCUUGUACACACCGAAAUA